UGAUGCCGAGGCCACGCCGGGUAGGAUCGAGGGUACAGCAUCG
rfam:Turkey astrovirus 1 complete genome, genomic RNA